GGUGAGAUGGCCGAGUGGUCUAAGGCGCUAGAUUUGGGUACUGGCAUAUGGUGUACAAUAUCUCUAGUUGUCCGUGGUGUGGGUUCAAAUCCCACCCUUAUCA